UNUGACUUGAGUGCAGAAGGGGAGAGUGGAAUUCCAUGUGUAGCGGUGAAAUGCGUAGAUAUAUGGAGGAACACCAGUGGCGAAAGCGGCUCUCUGGUCUGUCACUGACGCUGAGGCUCGAAAGCGUGGGUAGCGAACAGGAUUAGAUACCCUGGUAGUCCACGCCGUAAACGAUGAGUGCUAGGUGUUAGGCCCUUUCCGGGGCUUAGUGCCGGAGCUAACGCAAUAAGCACUCCGCCUGGGGAGUACGACCGCAAGGUUGAAACUCAAAGGAAUUGACGGGGGCCCGCACAAGCGGUGGAGCAUGUGGUUUAAUUCGAAGCAACGCGAAGAACCUUACCAGGUCUUGACAUCCCGAUGCUAUUCUUAGAGAUAGGAAGUUACUUCGGUACAUCGGAGACAGGUGGUGCAUGGUUGUCGUCAGCUCGUGUCGUGAGAUGUUGGGUUAAGUCCCGCAACGAGCGCAACCCUUAUUGUUAGUUGCCAUCAUUAAGUUGGGCACUCUAGCGAGACUGCCGGUAAUAAACCGGAGGAAGGUGGGGAUGACGUCAAAUCAUCAUGCCCCUUAUGACCUGGGCUACACACGUGCUACAAUGGUCGGUACAACGAGUUGCGAGCCGGUGACGGCAAGCUAAUCUCUGAAAGCCGAUCUCAGUUCGGAUUGGAGGCUGCAACUCGCCUCCAUGAAGUCGGAAUCGCUAGUAAUCGCGGAUCAGCACGCCGCGGUGAAUACGUUCCCGGGCCUUGUACACACCGCCCGUCACACCACGAGAGUUUGUAACACCCGAAGUCGGUGAGGUAACCUUUUAGGGGCCAGCCGCC
rnacentral:rRNA from 1 species